rnacentral:rRNA from 1 species
UACGUAGGGUGCGAGCGUUGUCCGGAAUUAUUGGGCGUAAAGGGCUCGUAGGCGGUCUGUCGCGUCGAAAGUGAAAACCCAGGGCUUAACCCUGGGCCUGCUUCCGAUACGGGCAGACUAGAGGUAUGCAGGGGAGAACGGAAUUCCUGGUGUAGCGGUGAAAUGACGCAGAUAUCAGGAGGAACACCGGUGGCGAAGGCGGGUCUCUGGGCAGUAACUGACGCUGAGGAGCGAAAAGCGUGGGUAGCAAACAGG